rnacentral:rRNA from 1 species
UACAGAGGUCUCAAGCGUUUGUUCGGAUUCAUUGGGCGUAAAGGGUGCGUAGGCGGCGCGGUAAGUCGGGUGUGAAAUCUCGGGGCUUAACUCCGAAACUGCAUUCGAUACUGCCGUGCUUGAGGACUGGAGAGGAGACUGGAAUUUACGGUGUAGCGGUGAAAUGCGUAGAUAUCGUAAGGAAGACCAGUGGCGAAGGCGGCUCACUGGCCCGGUACUGACGCUGAGGCGCGAAAGCGUGGGGAGCAAACAGG